GAGUUUGAUUAUGGCUCAGAUUGAACGCUGGCGGCAUGCUUUACACAUGCAAGUCGAACGGCAGCGGGGAAGUGCUUGCACUUCUGCCGGCGAGUGGCGAACGGGUGAGUAAUGCAUUGGAACGUACCGGGUAAUGGGGGAUAACUUGCCGAAAGGUAAGCUAAUACCGCAUACGCUCUUAGGAGGAAAGCGGGGGAUCGUUUGACCUCGCGUUAUCCGAGCGGCCAAUGUCUGAUUAGCUAGUUGGUGGGGUAAAAGCCUACCAAGGCAACGAUCAGUAGCGGGUCUGAGAGGAUGAUCCGCCACACUGGGACUGAGACACGGCCCAGACUCCUACGGGAGGCAGCAGUGGGGAAUUUUGGACAAUGGGCGCAAGCCUGAUCCAGCCAUGCCGCGUGUCUGAAGAAGGCCUUCGGGUUGUAAAGGACUUUUGUACGGGAAGAAAAAGUUGUGGCUAAUACCCAUGACUGAU
rnacentral:rRNA from 1 species